AUGCUCAGAGAACAUCAUCCAGCUCCUGGAGGGGUUCAUCCAUCAUGGAGUCUGGCAGAUGGCUUGGCGUGCUUGGCAUUUCAAAUUUAUACUAACGGAAAGCAUCGAAGUACUUGGAGGGAGUCCAGGUGUCUAUACUUCUCUGUAUGUUGGCUUCAUCCUGAGGCUGGUGAGAUGUCUGUAGAUAUAUGGUCUCAUAUCCAUGCAUGGCAGUGUUCCAGCAAAGAUUGCCGGAGGCCGGAAAGUAAGACAAAUAACAGCUCACCUGCCUGGGUUAUUGGAGCAACAAGAAACUUUCAGAGCAAUCCUCCAUUUGCCAGGUAAGAAAAUGGCAUUAACAGCUGGAAAGUUUAAUAUGUUGGUGAAGGACCAGGGAAAAGAAAACUGCCAGCUCCCUAUAUCAACCACAGAGUUAAAGUUUGUGCUUUUCUUUUUUUUUCAAAGUUUCCUUGAUAAUUAGACUUAUCAAUACAACAGAUUUCUGUGUCCAUAAUGCGUAAGGUUAAGUAAGGUAUGUCGGUAUGUUGAGUAAGAUCACCACUUGAAUGACCAGAGUGAUUGUUGCAAGGUACAACAUAUAAUGAACAGAGUGGUAAAUUAAGAAAUUCUUAAUUUGUACAUUCUGGCCCAGGAAAAAGAAAUGCUGAGAUUAUCUUAGAUUGUGUUUAGAUAACUGUUUUGUAUUUCAAAAUACUUGCAGAAUCAUCUCAUUUUAGCUUUAUAAUCUAGACUUUUUCUAUACAUAUUUUUUCUAUUUCAGAAUACUGACAAAUAUUGCUUUAACAAACUUUAGCCUGACUCCUGCAGCUUCUCUUAUAUCAAUGUGUGCACUUCCUUGUAAAAUCCAAUUUCAGCAAGAACUCUGCUAAAUCAUUUUAACCAGAACCUCCCACCCUUGAUACUGGAUCACCUCGAUAUCUUAUCAGGUUCCUCAUCUUCCACUAUCCCCCAGGGGAUGUGUGGUCACCUUGGCCUGUCUUCAGCAAGAACCCCAGUAAGUCAGUUUAGCCAGAGUUCCCCUUACCCCUGAUACUUCCUCUGAGUAAUUUUCCACCCACUGACCCGCCCCCCACCCAUUCUUUGCCUAUAAGCUCCCAUUUGCCACACUGUAUUAGGAUUUGAGCCCAAUCUCUCUCCCUCACUGCAAAAUCCCAUUGGAGUGGCCCCUGUACCAAACAUGAUGGUCCUGAAUAAAGUCUUUCUUCCUCUUUUGUAACAAGUAUUACUGAGUCAUUUUUCCUUUAAUAAUACCAGUGGUUUCUAAAUAAUUCUGAACAAGUAGGCUCUGUUAAGUGGUGAUUUUCAAGGACAGGGGAAGGAUAAUACGCUCCUUUUGGGGGAAGAUUAGCUUGAACAUCCCUAUCACUUUAUCUGUGGGGCAAUAAUACAAAUAGAGACCCCUAUUUUCUAUGAUUAAAAUUUUAAAAGUUGUCAAACAUGUUAUUUGUUAAAUACAAUAUGCUUUGCUCUCAUAUGUUGCCAAAUAUACCUUCAUAAUGUAUUGAUAAAAUAUUUGUGAAAAUACAUGGUCUUACUUAAUAUGAUCAAAAGCCAGGAAACUAAAAAAACCACUGAAUAUAUUUAUUAUCUUUCUAUAGGAUGGUGAUUGAGGAAGAAGACAUACAUAAUUCAUAAAUUAUUAUAAAUGCAUUUCUUGAAGUGUUUUUCCUUGAGUAAAUAUCAGCAAAAUUAUGUCUUACAGAGUUACGAUAAAAAUUUUCACAUAACUUGUGGAUUAUCAGUGGAAAUGGCAAGUUAUGCAAAAUUUCCUAAGUUAUUGUGGUUCUUGGGUAAUUUUCAUUAAUUUCAAUUUGGAAAUAUUUUGAUCUGCUAAGCAGUAGCAACUGGAAUUGUCAAUAAGACAUCUAAUGCAAUACUCUGGAAAUAAGUUAAAAUGAUUUAUUUAUUCAAAAUGAUUUUAUAAUGCAGGUUCAAAAAAGUGAUGAGAUCAAAUAUGACAUAUCACCAUAACCAAAUAAACUGUAGACAAAUAAAAUACAAAUUAUUUUAAUUUUUUGUAUAUUUUUAUUACUUACAUUGUGAUGUUUUACUACUUCCUAAAUUAAUAGAUAAAUCAAUAUAAUAUUCCUUAUGUUCUCAUUCUUUAAAAUACUUCAAUGCUGUAAAAU
rnacentral:lncRNA from 1 species